UACCUGCUCUCCGAGUGGUAGGGAUGAUUAUUGGGCUUAAAGCGUCCGUAGCCGGCUUAGCAAGUCUCCUGUUAAAUUCAGCGACCUAAUCGUUGAGCCGCGGGAGAUACUACUAGGCUAGGAGGCGGGAGAGGUCAACGGUACUUCCGGGGUAGGGGUGAAAUCCUAUAAUCCCGGGAGGACCACCAGUGGCGAAGGCUGUUGACUAGAACGCGCUCGACGGUGAGGGACGAAAGCUGGGGGAGCGAACCGGAUUAGAUACCCGGGUAGUCCCAGCUGUAAACGAUGCGAGCUAGGUGUUGGGGUGGCUACGUGCCACUUCAGUGCCGCAGGGAAGCCAUUAAGCUCGCCGCCUGGGGAGUACGGCCGCAAGGCUGAAACUUAAAGGAAUUGGCGGGGAGCACCACAAGGCGUGAAGCUUGCGGUUC
rnacentral:rRNA from 1 species